rnacentral:rRNA from 1 species
CGGGGUGCAGCAGGCGCGAAAACUCUACAAUGCAGGCAACUGCGAUAGGGGAACAUCGAGUGGCACCCACCAUGGGUGUCUGUCCAGCCGUCUAAAAAACGGCUGUUAGCAAGGGCCGGGCAAGACCGGUGCCAGCCGCCGCGGUAAUACCGGCGGCUCGAGUGGUGGCCGAUAUUAUUGAGUCUAAAGGGUCCGUAGCCGGCUUUGCAAGUCCCCUGGGAAAUCCAGCGGCUUAACCGUUGGGCUUUCAUGGGAUACUACAUUGCUUGGGACUGGGAGAGGUAGGAGGUACUCAGGGGGUAGGGGUGAAAUCCUGUAAUCCUCUGGGGACCACCGGUGGCAAAGGCGUCCUACCAGAACAGGUCCGACGGUGAGGGACGAAAGCUAGGGGCACGAACCGGAUUAGAUACCCGGGUAGUCCUAGCCGUAAACGAUGCUCGCUAGGUGUCACGGCAGUCGUGAAUUGUCGUGGUGCCGUAGGGAAGCCGUGAAGCGAGCCACUUGGGAAGUACGACCGCAAGGUUGAAACUUAAAGGAAUUGGCGGGGGAGCAC